rnacentral:rRNA from 1 species
UACGGAGGGAGCUAGCGUUGUUCGGAUAUACUGGGCGUAAAGCGCGCGUAGGCGGCUUUGUAAGUUAGAGGUGAAAGCCCGGAGCUCAACUCCGGAACUGCCUUUAAAACUGCAUCGCUUGAAUCCAGGAGAGGUGAGUGGAAUUCCGAGUGUAGAGGUGAAAUUCGUAGAUAUUCGGAAGAACACCAGUGGCGAAGGCGGCUCACUGGACCGGUAUUGACGCUGAGGUGCGAAAGCGUGGGGAGCAAACAGG